GCCCGGCAGAGGAGCAGGAGGGAGCACGAGGGCAGCGCCAGGGGAGGCAUGCUGAGCCCCGGGGACAGACAGAGCAUGUCUAUGAGAAGACAUUUGGAGGAUUCAUGCAAAGUGCGGUGGACAUCACAGCAGGAAGGCGUGGCAGAGCCAAGCCGCUCACUUCUUGGAGGCCAGAAAGCACAAAGUGGAGGAAGAGUGCUCUUGAGAGACAGAGCCUCAAAAGGCACUGCCCAGGGCCCACCCUCUGAGCAGCGCUUUCAGCUGUGAACAUCCAUGAAUCAGUCCAGGGAAAAUAUAGACCCAUGAGGAGGAACAGCCUACAGCUAUCACCAUCCAGGCAUGUGGUCUGUGACAGCCAAGGUUAUUACACGGGACUACAGGGACAGGUCCACACCUUAGGGUUCAGCUGAGGUUUUUGGCCACUGACUGAAGGCAGCGCAUCCUUUGUGGACUGCACCUGACAGCAAUCCUUGUGGAAGGCUGGUCAAAACAGACCAACAAUUUGGCAGAUUUUAAGCUUCCAGGUUACGAGUGUCUGUGGAAUUACAAACAUAAGGCCAUGGGUCCUGGACACAAAGAACUGAGUUUCAACUUUUAUCUUCAUGGUAACCCUGUACAAACUUGAGAUAUUUGUUUUAGAAGUCAUGAUACUGUUGCCACCUAUUAAAUGAGAUACAUGUUUAGCAAAGUGCUACUGUUAAGUAAGCAUUGCUAAAAGUAAUAUUAUUGUUGCUGUUAUUAUUACCCUAACUCAUUUUGAAUUCACAUUUUCCUACUGUUAUGAUCCCAGGAUUUUAGAUGCUUCCUCUUCUCUUUCCCCCUCUUCUUUCCCUCCUGCACCCUCCUUCUCUCUUCUUCUCUUUCCUCCCUUCUUUUCUUUUUUCUGUUUCUCUUUGUUCAGUGCUGGUUAAAUUUAUAUGGGCUUUUUUUUCUAGUCCAAGGAAUUCUUCUUAGUUAUCUUUACAGAUAGUUUAAAUGACUUGCAAAUAAUAAUGUCUCCAUGAAAUAGUAGUCAACUCCCUUCCUAAUGAACAUAAUACGUAAGCUACAAAAUGAGAAACAACAUAAUUGAAUUAUGGAAGAUUAGCAGAAUUCCUUCAAACUUCAGCCCAGUCACAUACUUGAAUGAUGGUUUCUGACUUGGCUUACUUUGAUAUUGGUUUACUGCUGAGCACAGGGAGAGAUUAAAAAAUUACUUCUUGAUGUGAUGGUUGCUUUGGAUCCUGUGUUAUAAACCUUUGCUUACUGUAUGGUCCUCAAUAUAUUACCUUCUCAAGGACAUUCUAGAAUUUCUUUGGCUCCGAGGAAGAUUCUGUUUCUCUGCAUUUCAGGUAAAAUUGGGAUGCCAAUUUGUGUAUUAUUGGUGUUUUUAUUUCCUGAUAAUAGGUAGAAGAUAAAAAUAGUAUUUGGAUAAGGGUUAGUACCUUGGACCUUCACCAUGGCAUGCUUGUUCCAUGGGAGGAAGAAGGUGGAUCAUAUAGCUCAGGAAGAUUCAAGAACAGAUGUCUCUCCAGAAAUGAAAACAAGUGCACAGUUCAGUGACCUUUCAGUAUACUUACGGCAGCAAUAAACACUUUGUCAAGUGUUUUAUUCCAUGCUGCUAGAUAACAAUAUGUAAUAAAACAACCAUUAUUAAUUUCCUA